GCGUCCUGUCCUUCGCGGAAAUCCUCCCUGACGUCCUUCGUCGGGAGCGGUGCUUCUGGGGCUGCAGUAACAUGGCGCCGUCCUCGGACCAAAUGGAGCUAAUCGGCACCAGACUUCCAUCUGGUCCCCACAUCAUAUCUCUGUGCCCCAUGGAGGAAUAACGCAGUGUUUCUUCUUCCAUGGCGCGCAGGCCCUCCCACGUUCUUUCGUCCAACUCGUCUGGCCCGUCCAAACUUGCGGAAAAACUUUUCUGCUGGCAACUUAUGUCACGACUUCAACUAUGGGAUAGUUUGUUUUUCCAACGCAAAGGAAAAGAGGCACGAGACAGACGUGAAUAUCAGCCCUUCCCAGGUCCAGCCGCCCCCUAGAAGGAGGAAUCAGCGUAAAACCAAACUGGUAAGUUGAGCAAAUUCAGAAUUAUGUGCCAGUUCAUCUGUGCAGAUUUGAGGAUGACGGCCCACCACACCAAAUUCCCUUCCGCCAGUCGAGAGGGUCAAGGUCAUUAACCGCAAGCGGACGGAGCCCAGGUGGACCAGUCCCUUUGAGGUCGUGGAACGGACGUCUCACUCCCUUCGGCUGGCAGAUGUCACUGCUGACAUCGCCACAUCACCGGCCCGACUCGGUCCCCUUGCAGAACUUACACACAUAGCCUCACAACCCAGAAGACGACACCGAGAGAGCUCUCCCCACGUUGAGCUGCCAUCUACCGUCGUGUAGAUCUACCAGACCUGCUCAACUGCUUUUUAAUGUAUCCAAAGCUAUCAUUACUUGAGAUCAACCUAUAUACUCGAUGUUAUAUAACUUCUCUUACUUGUUUUCAGCAAUACUAUUGGUGUCGCUACAAUAAGUGAAAAGUUUGAUGUUUAUCCCCGUUUAGUUACCUAAAAUACUCUGAUUUUGAUAGACGAAAGGCAGGAUGUUACACCCAGCAGUAUUCCCUGACAGAUUGGAAUUUAGGCUUGUUCUAAUGUCCUUGUGAAGUGAAAUAUAUUUAUAUAGUGCUUUUCUCUAGUGACUCAAAGCGCUUUUACAUAGUGAAACUCAAUAUCUAAGUUACAUUUAAACCACUGUGGGCUGCACUGGGAGCAGGUGGGUAAAGUGCCUUGCCCAAGGACACAACGGCAGUGACUAGGAUGGCGGAAGCGGGAAUCGAACCUGCAACCCUCAAGUUGCUGGCACGGCCACUCUACCAACCGAGCUAUGCCGCCCCA